CCAGCAAUGAUUCUCUCAAGUCUCUCUAUAUGUGGUAUUUGUGGAUCCUUACCAAAAAUGUUACUUACCUAUAGCUAAUGGAAUAUUUAAGUGGAACUCAUAGGAGUGAAAAACAGCUCAUACAUAUGUUGUUUAAUCGAGCCAUGAAUCCAAAGGAACUCAGCAUAUAAUUAAAUCAAGAUGUGCAUGUGUGGUGGAGUAAAUGAUAGUAAUAGUGAAAAUGUAUAAGUGAUAAUAAAGCUUACUUCUCAUUGCUCCUUAUAUUGCUAUCUCUCCUCUUCUUUGAUCUUUGCUUUGGGAGAACAUGGGCUAUCUUUUUCUUUUCUUCUUUUUUUUCAGAUGGGUAGCAGAUACCCCUAAUUCUACUGUCGGACACUUGUCCAUUUUUUCCGCUCAAGUGGGUAUCUUUGUACCCCUAAUUCUACUCUGGACACUUGUCCAUUUUUACCUCUCGUCUCACUCUUUUUCUUUCAUUUUCGAGGUUCCGGGCACUUGCCCCUUUUUAUUUCCUCGCAUAUUUUUGCAUAACCCAUGCCUCUUCUGCAUUGAAUCUUUUUGGGAAGAGAGAAUAACAAUACUUGGGACAGUGAGUGAUAAUAUUUUUAGCAAUUUUUAAUGAAUGGUGGUGAAUGGUGUAGUGGAUGCGUGCAAGUGAAUAUCUUAAUUUAACCACAUGAAAAGCUCCUAAGGGUCUAUACAGCUCGAUCAAAGGUCUACACAGCUCGAUCAAACUCAAUGUGAAUAUAGUAAAAGAUGUUAUAGCAAGUAUGACUGUGGUAGGCAGUUUGUAAUGCUAGGAACUCAUCAUGUGAUUUGUAAGUUUUCAAAAUAAAUCUCCAGAACUUAGUGUAGUAGGAACAAGAUAAACAGCAGCUCAAACUUUAUAUUAUGCCUUUCUCUUACCUAGACUUUAGUUUUAUCCUUCUCAAAGAUAGUAAUUUUAGUUUUAAUAAUUCGUGGAAGAACUCUAAUAUAAAAGCUAGGUACUUGAAAGUAAGCAAACAGAGCAACCAUUCAUCAUUUCCAUCAUACAUCUUUUUGGUCUUUUUAUUUUUUAUAGAGAUUAAACUUAGCAAAUAAAUAAAGCACACUUAUCUACACACUCUUUUUAUUUUGUUUUCAUGUUUAUAAAAUGCAGUGAAUUAAAGCAAGAAAAUAUUUAUUGGGUUUUAUAGGUUUUUCUUUUAAGAUAAAUAAAACACUAAAAUAGAAAAGAAUAAAUAAGAAGAGCAAAUAAAAACUUACUUGAUAAAUUGGGG
rnacentral:lncRNA from 1 species